rnacentral:ncRNA from 1 species
AUAAAAACUAUGAUGGAGAAGAGUAAAUAGUGGAGUAUUUUUAGAGAAUUGGGAUAAGGUGAAAACCCAUGAAUACGAAACUUUUGAAAAUCACUCCUAAGUUACAAGCUGAAAUUAGUAAGCUGUGUCGGUAUUACCGUUAUUAGAAUUAGAAAAAAGUUGGGUGGUACCGCAAAGCUUCUUGCCCUAGGC